rnacentral:pre_miRNA from 1 species
AUCACCAGGGAUCUUGUUAAAAUGCAGAUACUGGUUCAGAAUAUCAGAGGUUGGGACUGAGAUUCUGCAUUUCUAACAAGCUCCCAGAUAAUGCUGG